GAGGGAGCUCAUAGGGCGGGUAAAAUACCUCCGGCAUGUGCCCUGGAGGAAACUUUUUUGUUUUGUUUGUUUGUUUCCGCCAAAUUCAAAGUCUUUUCUUCCAGGCUCCAGGGGCACACGCGUAAGCCCACAGAGGGAGCUCAUAGGGCAGACUGUGCGGCUCACCUGUUGAUGAGGGUCGGUCGUCCCAGCUCCACUGAGGCUGGGCUUGGGCUUGUCUGUGAUAAUCUCCCUCUGAGUGGACGGAGGACACUGAAGAUGGACGCUCCCCUCCAGCGUAGGCCUGACCCAGAUUGGGUGACUUUGAUUUCCGGCUGUUGGCUUUGCCCUGCUUCUGCUUACCUGUACAUUCAAAUUAUGUGAGUCAGUACCAUGUCACACCUUACAUCUCUUCUGAGGAUGUGUAAAAGAUAAUCAAUUCAUACCCAUACUCGGUGAUGGAUUGGCCUCCUGGCGGGUGUCGCUGCCUGGGCCAGAUGCAUUGUUAAUGGGCCCUACUCCCUGGUGCUCAUCCUGUCUCUCCUCCAAGUUUCCCAUCAAAGCUUUGCGGAUGAUGUCCUCCAGGCCCAGGUUACUGGCUGGGUCGCUAAAGGAGUGAUUCCUGGGGUUGAUGUUGCCUAAAAAGUAACAAGAUCACAACAUAGCACUUAAUAAAAAGCAGAUAUUAACCACA